rnacentral:lncRNA from 1 species
AUGAAGAACUUGCUAGAUAAUCAUACUGAAGGCAGCUCUGAACAUCUAGAGCAAGCUAGCAUUGAAACAAUGAUGUUAAAUCUGGUCAGGUACGUUUGUGUGCUUGGGAAUAUGGUCCAUGCAAUUCAAAUAAAAACGAAACUGUGUCAGUUGGUUGAAGUAACGAUGGCAAGGAGAGAUGACCUCUCAUUUUGCCGAGAGAUGAAAUUUAGGAAUAAGAUGGUAGAAUACCUGACAGACUGGGUUAUGGGAACAUCAAACCAAGCAGCAGAUAAUGAUGUAAAAUGUCUUACAAGGUAAAAAAAAUGACUUUCAAAUAUUAGUGGGUUUUACUGUGAGA